UUUGUAUUCCCGCAUAAACUAAUGACCAAUAACCAAACGAUAUUCGCGGUCACGUGACUUCUGGUUCUGCUUUCUGGUGCGAUAGAGUUUGUCCUUUGAGAACGCAAACCGGACCAGUUAAACAAUCAAAACAAAUGUAUCGUCUUGCCUUGGAUUCAAAUCAGGAAACAGACCUUUAGGUGUGAACAUGACCUAAGAAUCUGAGUUGUUUUGCAGUUCUGGCUCUCCUUUGUUAUAUUUUUGCAUCAAGAUUAAUUGAUUGAUUAGUUGAUUUUAUUUAUAUGCGUGUCAGGCACACAUAGUGUCCAACCCUUAUGGGUUUACAGGAUUCCAAAGAUACAGCUGCAAUUACAGAGCCAGUUUGAAAGUGCAUGUUCCUGAAACAUCUAGACCUUAAACAUUGCAUCCAGCGUUUUCCCUUUCAUGCUUUGCAGACCUGCUACAAGUAAGGUUCCUCCUCUGAAACACUGAAAUUUUUCACAAUCAUCCAACCAGAAGAAAUCAGCAUUAAUCCCGGACAUUUUACGGAAAGCACACCCCUGCAGUCCUCCUAGAUGGGACCGUAAAACAGGAAGUCUCAUUUUCAAUUUCUCCCAAGCUCACAAACUGUGCAUCAAACCAGCCAGAACAGUGUUUCUGAGCCUAACUGUGCAUGUGAGUGAUCUUUGUUGAGGUGUGCCAACUCUUUUUACCACAAUCAGCCCAGUUUCUCAGCCGGACUCUUCUACUACAGAGCCAUGCUUUUGUAAUCCCUGUUGUCAGAGUGUGGUUUGUCAUUGUCUUGCUGAAAUAUGAAGGUCCUCUCUGAAAAACUCUUUGUCUGGAUGUCAGCAGAUGUUGCUCCUAAACCUGUAGAUAUUGUUCAGCAUUCAUGGAGCCUUCACAGAUAUAAAAGCUCUAUCAAAUCUGUGCUGGUGUCUCCUGAGGAAAAGAAAAAAAAAGGAGAAUGAAGUUCCUUGAUAAAGACUUAACAUAUAUACAAUAAUAAUACUAAAAACGGUCUCAUUUCAUACAAAUAAUCCUGCUAAUAUGCUUUUGAGAGCCUCUGUCACAGCCAUGUACGGCACCACCUGUCACAGAUUCUGGUCCUUUCCCCACAUUUACACUAACUGUCCACCAGAGGGCACUGCAAACCUUCAGUUUGAUUCCAAUGCCAUGGAGCAAAUCUGGGUUUGUUAGAAAUGCAUGAAAACUCAAGUUCGUUCCCUCUGAGAUGAACUGUAACACUGAAGCAAUCAUUAAACAAAUGUAACACAGAGUCCUUGGCAAACUACAGCUCAGAAAUUAUUGAAGGCUUAUCAUAAUGAACCUUCAUUUACUCUUUAAAAAAGGUUUAAAGUAUCAGUGAGUCCUGAGAAGUAGAGAUGAGACUUAAGCUGCUGGUUUACCUACACACAUUAUAUUAAUUAUAUACAAUUCUGUCUAUUUCUCUCUCUCUCUCUCCGUCUGUCUGGUUUACUAAAAUAUGACUUUAGCCAUGCAACAACAACAUGAUAAACUCAAAACUAAUGAAAAUACAGGUCGAAGUGGUGGGAGUGGUAGUAUUUCUAUCAAUACCAGGGUAACAUUGUAAUCUUGGUUUACUCAGAGAAGAGACUAUCACUCCUCUUCCACAUGUAUGGGAUAUGAUCUCCUGCUAGUCGGGGUCUGUGGAUAAAGCUUUAAAGCUCUUAACAUGUUUUGUGCAUGUGAGUGAUCUUUGUUGAGGUGUGCCAACUCUUUUUACCACAAUCAGUCCAGUUUCUCAGCAGGACUCUUCUACUACAGAGCCAUGCUUUUGUAAUCCCUGUUGUCAGAAUGUGGUUUGUCAUUGUCUUGCUGAAAUAUGAAAGUCCUCUCUGAAAAACUCUUUGUCUGGAUGUCAGCAGAUGUUGCUCCUAAACCUGAAGAUAUUGUUCAGCAUUCAUGGAGCCUUCACAGAUAUAAAAGCUACCCAUGACAUGGACUCGGAAGAUCCCCAUACCAUCAGGGAUGCUGGAUUUGAACUGGGAGCUGAGAACAAGCUGGGUGGUCUUUAUCACCCUUUAGACUGGAUGUUGCAGGAUUCAAGAUUUCCAGUAAGAAUGUCAAACUUUGAUUUAUCAGACCCUGUUGGUUUUGGUCUUUGUCCCUUUAGUACAGAGAUUUCUCCAGAUUCUCUCAAUCUUUUAAUGAUGUGAUGUUCUGUAGAUCAGUGGUUCUCAAGUCCAGUCCUCGAGGCCCACUGUCCUUCAUGUUUUGGAUGUUUCCCUGCUCCAACACACCUGAUUCAAAUGAUCAGC